rnacentral:rRNA from 1 species
CGUGUAGGCGGCCAGACAGGUCAGCUGUGAAAACUCGAGGCUCAACCUCGAGACGUCGGUUGAAACCGUUUGGCUAGAGUCCGGAAGAGGAGAGUGGAAUUCCCGGUGUAGCGGUGAAAUGCGCAGAUAUCGGGAAGAACACCCGUGGCGAAGGCGGCUCUCUGGGACGGUACUGACGCUGAGACGCGAAAGCGUGGGGAGCGAACA